rnacentral:rRNA from 1 species
CCCUUAGAUGUCCGGGGCCGCACGCGCGCUACACUGAAGGAAUCAGCGUGGCUUUCUCCCUGACCCGAAAGGGUUGGGAAACCCGUUGAAUCUCCUUCGUGAUAGGGAUUGGGGCUUGAAAUUGUUCCCCAUGAACGAGGAAUUCCCAGUAAGCGCGAGUCAUAAGCUCGCGUUGAUUACGUCCCUGCCCUUUGUACACACCGCCCGUCGCUACUACCGAUUGAACGGUUUAGUGAGGGCCUCGGAUUGGUCUCGGCCCGCUCUUUACCGGGCGGCGCCGUUGGUCGAGAAGACGCUCGAACUUGAUCGUUUAGAGGAAGUAAAAGUCGUAGCA